UACGUAGGGGGCAAGCGUUGUCCGGAAUCAUUGGGCGUAAAGCGCGUGUAGGCGGCCAGAAAAGUCCGCUGUGAAAACUCGAGGCUCAACCUCGAGACGCCGGUGGAAACCGUAAGGCUAGAGUCCGGAAGAGGAGAGUGGAAUUCCUGGUGUAGCGGUGAAAUGCGCAGAUAUCAGGAGGAACACCUAUGGCGAAGGCAGCUCUCUGGGACGGUACUGACGCUGAGACGCGAAAGCGUGGGGAGCGAACAGG
rnacentral:rRNA from 1 species